UCCUUGUUGGUAUAGUGGUGAGUAUCCCCACCUGUCAUGCGGUAAACCGGGGUUUCAUUCCCCGACGGGGUG